rnacentral:tRNA from 1 species
CCCUGGUUAGCUCCGCUGGUAGAGCGCUCCACUGGAAAUGGGGAGGUCCCGGGUUCGAUACCCGGACCAGGCG